rnacentral:lncRNA from 1 species
GGUUCCUUGAGAGUGGUGUGCCCUAAGACGGCAUAUCCUCGACUGGCAAAAUAAACCUCUAAUCAAUAGAGAUCUGCCUCAGUCACUUUUUGGUUUACAUGUUGGUGACCACAAAGGAACUCCGAGUGGAGUCUGGCUGUUGGCCUCCAGCAAGUCUCCUAUUGGGGCCCUGGUACCAGCUGGAACUCUUUAUUACUCUUACAGAUUGGAUGAUUUGCUAUGUAAGUUCUGGGAACUUCUCCCUCCAGAGAUCCCUGAUCUCCCCCAAAUUUUCAAUUGGGAUCUGAGGUUUAUUCUGCUGUAAAACUCCUUUUCUGGUAGUUUCUGCUUCCAUGAUGGCAGACAGCAGUCUUCAGCUUGGGUCCAUCUCCAGCUUUUUGUUUCCUGUCUUUUUUCAUCUGUUGGGGGCACAUGAGGCUUUGGGGCCUUUGUGUGCGUAUGGUCAGCUGAGAAGUAACAUCAUCAGGAAGACGGGUGCUUCACCAUGCUUCUGCCUGUACCAGUGUACAGAAUAUAAAGCCUUGGAGGAACUGCAGUUGAUGACAGCAUCUUCCCCUUCUCGGAGGAUCACGGCUUGAGGACUCUGCACUGGUUGUUGGCUUCUCACCCCUGAUCAGAAAGACAAUCGAAUGAGAUGCUCAAUCUCGUGAAGGGAAGGGUGAUUUUCUCCCUUCCUUCCUUAUUUAAAACAUUAAGCAUCACCACAUAAUUACGGUACAUUUUCCUCACUUCUUAGGUCUGGUUCUUAAAAGGGCCCUUCCCAAGACAGAAAGCUAUUGUCAUUAAGAUGCUGUCAUAUCACAACCUCUCCCAGACUGAAUCGUGUACUCACAGGCCAACUGCCACAACAAGGUGCCUGAAAGCACUUUCAGGAGAGUCUCCAUCCUUGGCCUGCCAGAAUAUCCAGUCAGCUUCUGAAUAGGCUUCCUUAACAGGAGUUGCUUUGAACUCAGAAUGAGGCCUGUUGCAAUUGCUUCCAGGAUAUUGCAACUUUGGGGGCAACCAAUCAGAGACACAUCACAACAGUUUAACUGCAGAGAACUAAAUGCAUCUACCUAGAAUACUUUUUAAACAGCUCUCCCCUGUGGCCAGACUGAGGAAUGUUGAUUAAACUGUGGAUUUUGGCUUUUCUUGAGUAAGUUUUCAUCCAGGAUAGGUUUUUUUCUUGCUAUAAGAAGGGCCUAUCAAUAUACUGUGUUACAGAAAGAAUUACUCCAGAAUUAAGAGAAAAAAGAAGCAUCAAGGGAAAAUGUAUUAUAUGUGUUUUACUACAUAUAUGUAUUUUAUAUACAUG